CAGUCAUACCAACAGGAAAUCAACCUUUUGAGUUUGGUCUCGUGGGUUUUGAAGAGUUUAAAAGCCUUUCGGAUUUUCGAGAUUGGGUUCUUCUGGUGUACUUUCUCGUACGGUUAGUCAACAUCGGUUUUGAAUGUCAUAAAACGACUGGAGGAAUGUGGCUUCGAUCUCGUAUUGAAGUGUUAUAGCCUUUGGUAGAUGUGAUGUUUGAGACCGAGGAUUGCAACGGAUACCCUUCUGGGCUAUUCGUCUGAUCUCUGAAACGUUGCCUUGAUGUCGAAAGCUUGCUUAUGAUGUUAGGGUAUUACGGUCAAAAGGUUAGAACGGAUUAAA
rnacentral:rRNA from 1 species